rnacentral:lncRNA from 1 species
UUUCGAGCUUUUCUCUCUACAUAACAAGCAAAAGUGAGAUCCAAUUCCAAAACUAAAAAAGUUUAGAGAAGUUUAGUUAGGAUACUAGAGGGGUCCUUCAUGGGGUACAUGCAUUACAUGUUGUGGAUUGGAGAAGACCAAAGAGGUAUAUUAGUUUAAUUUUUUUUAUUAAUAUCUUAUUAUAAUUAUGUUAUAUGACUUUUUAUUGCGAUUAUGCUAUGUAAUUUUAAUGGAUUACUAUAAUUUUUCUUGAAGUUUUAUAAUACACUGUUUUAUGAUAUUUAGUGUUAUAAUCCUUUUGCUUAGCUUGAUUAUCUAGUCUUGGUUUUUAGUUUUAAUAACCUAUUGAUAUCUUAAAGGAUUGCUUUAGAUCUGUCAUGAGUUUAGUUGCUUAUUGUGUAUCUACAUUUAUUUGAUGAUUUUUGUGUUUCUAAUUUAAAUUAAUUAUAUAAUUUUUAUGCUUAUUACAUUUAAUCCACAUGCUUUAUUUGACAAAUAUUUCUUAAAUGUGGAGUGGUAAUUAGGGCUAAAACUGUACUAAGUGAUAGUUGGGUAUCUGUGGACAAGGCUAUACAGGCAAAUCUUUCCAUAAUUUAGUAGGACCUACGACCUUGAUGUUGUUAUUGCAUUGGGCAAUGGAAUGAUGAGGAGGAAGGUGCCGUUGGACAUGGAAAAUUGAGAGAAAGAUAGGAGAGACGGUAAAGUAAUAAAAUAAUAAUUCAAUAUCAGUUAACACUGAAUACCUCCAGAGAGAAUUAAGCAACGAAAGAGGUGUAUUGAAUAUAUAUAUAUAUAUAUAUAUAUAUCGGGGGGACGGGGAGAAGUUGCAAGAUAACAAAAACAAAAAAACAGAGAGAACAAAUAAAUAAACAAAGUUUUAUUAGAUAUAUGUUUCCCACUCAUCUUUUAGAAUUGGAAGCUUCGGAAUUACAUUAGGAGUAUAUAUAUAUAUACAUCGGGGGUGGUGGUGGUGGGGGAGAAGUUGCAAGAUAACAAAAACAAAAAAACAGAGAAAACAAAAGAACAAAUAAAUAAACAAAGUUUUAUUAGAUAUAUGUUUCCCACUCAUCUUUCAGAACUAGAAGCUUCGGAAUUACAAUAGGAGUAGAAUUACAUAAAAUUUGGAGAGGGGAGAGAGAAUGUGAGUGAGAAGGAAAGGUGAGCUUUUAUUUUCAAAGCUAAAUAGUGUAACCAAGUUAAUUUUAAAAUAUUUAAACAUUAAUUCAAAUAUAAACAUAAUUAUACGAAUAUUUUGGAAUUAUUUCAUGAAAAUAAAAAUGAUGCAUCACAAUUCUCUUGGAAAAACAAAGAGAAACAACAAAAGAUAAGGGCUUUGGUUUCCAUUUGUUGGGAUAGAGGUAGGCAACAGAGAGAUUUUUGUGGUUUUAUAUUGUUCGGAUAAAUACAACAAUUCACAAGAAUAGGAUACUUUAUAAUCGAUGAAUAAACAAUCUAUACAAGAGACAUGUGAUUCUUAGUCAUAAAACAACCUAAAUUCCCUUUAUAUGAUUUCCAAUGAAAGCAUCAAAUAAAGGGAUCAGAAGAUGAAUGUCGGGUUUUGGCUAAUAUAGCAUGGAAGUUUGGACUUUAGAAUUCAUAUGUUGGAGUGGUGUAUUUCGUGUUUAGAUGGGAUAUGAUUUGUGGGAAAGUGGGAAUGGUUUUUUUAUUUAGAGUUUUGAUAGAUAUAUAUCCCAUUCCAUGAAUGAGUCCGUCAUUUUGAUCCUUAGUGUUCUUGCUUUUCUUAUGUAAUCCUGAAGUCAUUUUUGCCAUUUUUCCGCUUUAGAUCUAAAACAUCUAAGAUAGAGCCCUUAUUUGUACCAUAUAGCUAACAUGUAUAAGCAAAAGGAAUUCACUUGGACCUGGGAAAGAUAUGGUGUAUUACUGAAUGACCUAGAUUUUGGCCGAGGUUCUAUUUUGGUAAAAAAAGUCUAUUUAAGCUCUAACUUAUGACCUAAUGAAAAUAGAAAAGGAUUGAUGUACUUGGGAAGUUCGAAAUUGUAGCUUUGGAAUAGCCCAUGUUAGUAGCAUUUUUAUGUAGCAUUUUUAUGACCAAAAAAAUUGCACAUACCCUCUCUUCAUCCCAAUAGUCAAUUUUCAAAAAAAUAAAGUCCAGUUUGUAUCCUAGAUAUGAUUAAAAUGAAUCCCCUCCAACAAUGAAUCUAGACCAUCCAUUUGGUACAUUUCAAUAUCUAUGCCUUUACAAAUUCAAAACCAUUUUUCUCUUUUCGACAUUGUUCAUUUAAUGAUAGCAAAGCUAUCUAAAGCUAUCUAAAAAUUUUGAAAAGGGAAGAAAUCCUUCUAAAGCCUUGAUCUAAGCAUUCUUAACAAAAUAGACAACUUAUGUUAAAUAGGCUAAAAAAAUACUUUCCAUAGUGCAUUUUCAAAUUUUAAUUUUGUGUGAUUGUUCAUUAUGAAAGAGGUGUAUAUUUAAAAAUUGUGGUCAAACAAAUGGCACUAAAAUAGUUUUUAAAGAUUAUUUCAUUAUAAAACUAUACAAAUGUCACAUGAAACUAGAUUGGCCCAGAUUCAAUCUGGGCCGUUGGACUCAUAUGUUCAUAUGAGCUAGUGAGCNNNNNNNNNNNNNNNNNNNNNNNNNNNNNNNNNNNNNNNNNNNNNNNNNNNNNNNNNNNNNNNNNNNNNNNNNNNNNNNNNNNNNNNNNNNNNNNNNNNNNNNNNNNNNNNNNNNNNNNNNNNNNAUAUAUGAAAACUCUUCCCAACCCUCAUCACCAUCCAAUAUAUUUUGAUCAACUUAUAUUUUAUGUAAUUUUUUUUUUCAUAGUUUUAUUAGGUGCGCCUCACGAAGAUGUACACACACUCCAAAUUUCAAGUAAUUUGGAUUUGUUAAAAAUAAAAAAAUGAAAAAAUGAAAAACAAAACACUACUAGACAACUGUGAUCGUGCGAUGAAGUUUGGAUGUUGAUGAUAGUAGACGAAAUCACUGUUCAUUUUCGCUAUAGGCGUUGGGAAGAGUUUUCCUAUAUAGAGAAAUGAUAUCAUGUCACCAUGCCAUUAUAAUAUAAUGAAACCACACUUCUAGAAAACCAUGUUUGUGGUAUUUGUACGACCUAAAAUUUUACACACACUCUCUUCAUGUAAAUAAUCAAUCUCAAAAAAUAAAUUUAAUUUGCACCCAAUAUAUGGUCAAAAUGAGUCCCCUCCAACAAUGAAUCGAGAUUGUUUAUUUAGUGAAUUUCAAGAUCUAGGUCUUUAUAAGUUCAAAAUCAAUUUUUUUUUAAAUAUUAUUAACCUAAUGAUAAUAAAGUUAUCCAAAAAUUUUAGAAAAAAAAAAGAUCAUUCAAUGGCCUAGAUCUAAACAUCUCACAAAAAUUGGACAGCCUAUGUUAAUUGGGCUAAAAAAACACUUUCUAGGUUUUGUUUUUAUUUAUUUAUUUAUUUUGUGAUUGUUCAUUAGAAUUAAAAUAAAUUAUAUUUUAAAAUUUGGGUCAAACUAAUGGUCUUAACAUGAUUUUUGAAGAUUGUUUCAUUAUAAUACUAUACAACCAUAAUUCAAGAACAUGCUCUCUAAUAACAGUUCCAAUCAAGUUGUGGGGUCGAAAUCCAUGCGGCAAAUAAUCUCUUUGGCUGCGAGCUAGAAAUCCAUCAUUACAACUUUGAAACGAGUAACUAAAAAGGCUAUUCCAAUCGAGCCGAUAGCUAGAAAUCGAUGACAAGAACUUUGAUGUCAUUAGAAAGGCCGGAUUUUUCUUGAUAUAAUUUUUCACUACAAUAUGCGAUUCCCUAAAAACAUUCCAGAGCCGGGAGGGAGGCGGAGGAGAAAAUAGAGUUGCCCAUUCCAAAGAGCCAAGAAAAAACACGAUGGACCCUGCAAAAUGAGAAUGGAUUCACCGGAGAUCUCACGUCUAACAGGAUGGCGACACCUUGCACAUCAACGGCCGGACUUGAGUGGCACUCGAUGCAGUGGCACAGGAUGCCCAGAGCGGCACAUGACGCCAAAUGCCAUGGAAUUUCUAUGGAGUUGUAAUCACUAUAUGACAAUUCAUAACCUUGGAGUUUGGGAAUCAUAAUCUUGUAGAAGAUGUAAAGUGAUUGGUCUUUGGUAAGUAAUUUAUAUUGUAGUCACUAAUGAUGGAGACGUAAACUUAGAAUCAUAAUCUUG